rnacentral:rRNA from 1 species
ACGCUCGACACCUACGGGAGGCAGCAGUAGGGAAUCUUCCACAAUGGGCGCAAGCCUGAUGGAGCAACACCGCGUGAGUGAAGAAGGGUUUCGGCUCGUAAAGCUCUGUUGUUGGAGAAGAACGUGCGUGAGAGUAACUGUUCACGCAGUGACGGUAUCCAACCAGAAAGUCACGGCUAACUACGUGCCGGCAGCCGCGGUAAUCUGAGCGGGCUGGCAAGGC